rnacentral:rRNA from 2 species
GGGAUACCCGCUGAACUUAAGCAUA